CACCCUUCUAGAUGACUAUUGCCACCUUCUCUCCUCGCUUCAAAUCUUUCAUGCCUCCUGAGCAAGAUCACACAUCUUCAUCUCUUUAGAAUCCAUCACUGGUGACUUGUUUUGUCUAUAAGUUAUUGCCUGGAAUCAUGCAGAAAUAAAAGAACAUAAAUAAUCUCCACCAAUGUCCUUUGAGUUCACAGUUUCACAGUAAAGGCAUGCAUUUAAUUACUACCCUAAAUAUUAUAUCUUCACAGAAUAUGACUGCAUUUGGAAAUAAGGACUUUAAAGAGGUGAUUAAGUUACAAUGAGGCCACUAGAGAAGACAAUUAUCCAUUUGGACUGAUGUGCUUAGAAGAAGAGCAUAUUGGUAAAAAGAGACACCAGAGGUACAACAGCACAGAGAAAGACCAUGUGAGGACACAGUGAGAAGAUGGCCAUCUGCAAGCCAAGGACGGAGGCGUCAGGAGAAACCAACCCUGAUGACACCUUGAUCUUGGACUUCACAGCCUCCAGAACUAACAUACUCAAGUGUCUCAGCUCAACAUUUGGAGAUGAGCCAUCCUCCUCUUAUUGUAAAAAAAGCUUGAAGGAGUAUUUUCACAGCGAUGGAACUGGAAGUUAAGGCAACUUCUAUCAGCAUCAAGAAAAGAAACAAAGUAUUCACCACUUAUGAAACAACAUCUCUCUUCUCAUCAAUAGUUUGAUUUACAGCAUCUACUGCAGAAGACCUCAAUAAUGCAUAAGAACAUCUGGAAGUACGGUAAUUUCAGCUAUCAGAGAUAAGAAUUGACACAGAACAGUUUCCUCACUGGAGAAAAUAAGCCUGGUUAUUUUUUGGCCUAUGUUGAAACAUCAUAAGUAGAAUGAAACAGCAUAAUUUUUUCCCCCUGGGGUUCAAGAGUUUAUUUCUUUUGAUACAACAAUAAAUCAACUGACAAAAUGGAAUUUCUUUGCAAUACAUAUGCAACAAGUUAGUUUGCAUGGACAAGUUGAGCUUCAGUUUAUAUAUAGACACUCUGGAACAUUUUAUUAUAAAGCAAUAGUGCUGGAAAGCCACUUAAAGGGGUAACUGCACCAGUAACUAUGAGAAGGAGAUCUAUGAUUAACCUAGUAGAACUUAAAAAGUGAUUUCUGCAGCUUUGAAAUCAUCUACACAUGAACUCAAGCAGCAAUACGUAUUGGUUUAGAUUCUGUGCUAUCAUUGGUACAUGGUACUACACAGCGAUGCUGUUUAAAUGAAGAAAUCUACUCUUCUAAAAAAUCUUUGCCACUGAUGCCACAUACAAAUACCGUAUGGACUAGCUCUCAGAGCCAAAGCAGGAAAAAUCGCCAAAGGGGUUUCAAGCAUCUACUGUGAGUCUUGGAAUGUACUCCUUUUGAAUAAGGGAAGACUGCUGUAAGGUUGUAGUAGAAGAGGAUGCUUUCAGAUCAUGGAGAACAGAGGAUCAUAGAAAUUCAUAAACAGAGGAUGAAGAAACACAGAAGACAGAGGAAGGAUUUAGUUUUGGGGACAUGUGCUAAUGGCCAUCAAACAAUUCUGAAAUGUUGGAGUGCAGUGGUACAAACACAGCUCACUGCAGCCUCGACCUCUCUGGCUCAAGUGAUUCUCCCAUUUCAGCCUCCUGAGUACCUGGGACUACAGAACUGAAAGAGAACCUUUGAAACACCCUUUAGAUUAAGAGCCUGGCUUGUAAUCUAUAACAACAAAUGGUAUUACAAUGAGAGCAUCCACUGAGACUAGUAUAUCCAGAACACUUCAUGAAAAGUAAUAUUUAAAGAAGAUAAAUGGUAGAAAAUUCAAACCCCAGAGGAUCCAGGGAAGUAAUGUAAAUAAGCAAAACAACCUGGUAGCAGACUGUGCUAAGUGGAGUGUGCUCUCCCCACCUCGACAGGAGCGUCUUCAGUGGAGGGUGGUAUGUGUGAGUGUAGGUCUUUUGUGACUGCACCUACCAAUUUUUUGGAUUAAAGCAAAACAUCUAGAUCUGUUUAAAAAAUAUAAAAUUUCCCAACGUUAAAAGUAUUGGCACCUAAUUCUAAUUCUUAAAAGUCAUUGCAUGAUCCAAAGAAAGUAAGUCUGUGAUCCGGGCCAGAACCAGUGAUUUGUAACAAUGGUUACACUAUCCUUAGGGUAUGCUGUUCAAUUGACCAUGUUCUAGGCACCAAAAAGUGAAGGAAAAAAAAAAAAGAAUCAAAGAAAUGUGCCUACCUUCAAGGAUCUCACAACAUAUUUUGGGAAAGAAGUCAUAGCACAUACAUUUCAAUUUGUGCAGUUUCAUUUAAUAGCAAUGUAUUUAGGAUCCAGUAUAAGACAGGCAAUGAAUACUACCUUUGAUAAACUCCCAGUAUGGUAGAGGUGAUGGGUCCAUAAACAUGUGAUAAUGUAGUAGUUUGAAGUUUACACUAAUUUUAGCCUAUACCAUAUGCUAUAAGAUACACAAGAAAAAAAGUCUUGACCUCUGUAAACAUAUAACAUUUUAUAAAUAAUCUAGCCCUCAUGCAUAUGUUUGUAUUUAUUAUAAACUUACGUAUAAAUUAAAUUUUAUGUAGUUUUGUAGGCCAGCCCAUAAACAAUUCUUCAUGGGUACCUAUUGAGAAACUAAAUUUUUUUUCUUGGAUUGAACCAUCAUUGCUAGUUGGAUUAUUCCUAUUUGAAAAUGCCUUUCAGUAGCCUUUAAGAAAAUGAUGAGAGAAUUAGAUUUAGAUGUGGGUUUUUUUAAAUCUUCUUUCUAUUUUGAGCACUGAAGGACAAGGAAAAAAUAAAUUUGUAUUAGGAAAAAGGAGACUUUUUAAAAUUACACAAAUUUCUUUAUAAUAGGUGAAAUACCACCUACCCUUGGUAAAUACUUACAAAAUACUUUUUGUAUGUCUGUAAGAAUAAUUUUAGGUUAUUUGCAAUUAUGCAAAUAACUUUCAAAAGCCUCAAAAAAUAAGAAUUUUGGGGGACCUAAACCUUAGCCACUAAAGUCAUUUGAAUUAAAAAAUGGCAUAAUCAGUGGUACUGCAAACAAAUUCUUAGAUCAUGGUUUCACUAAUUUGUCUUUUAUUCUUGUACUACAUUAAUAAAGAGGAAUGGGGGAAUUUAUGGAAAAAGUUUAGGAUUAAGAGGGACAGUAAAUUUAGACAUUUAUCUUUCACCAUUGGAAGUCUCAUUCCAGAAUCAUUCUAAGGCUCAGUUAAGUUCUAACUAAAAGUAAACCUCAUCAUAUUUCAUAUUGCCUGCACAGCUCACAUAACUCUGUAUUUAAGCAUUUACACCAAAGGACUAUAUUUCCCAAGAGGUCUGGUUCCCAUGAAAGUUAGCAUUAGGAAUGUUAGCAAGAAUUCCUUAUCAUUUUAUGUCUAGUUUGCAGAGGUAUGUACAGUGCAUUUUAAAAUUCAUCCCAGAAUAGUCAUCUGUCUUAAAGAAUUUGAUGUCCUUGAUCAGUCUGAAGACAUGAUUCUAAAAAUGCAUCAGUUCUACUUUUUGGUGUAUUAAACCACUG